GACGAACGCUGGCGGCGUGCUUAACACAUGCAAGUCGAACGGAAAGGCCCUGCUUUUGUGGGGUGCUCGAGUGGCGAACGGGUGAGUAACACGUGAGUAACCUGCCCUUGACUUUGGGAUAACUUCAGGAAACUGGGGCUAAUACCGGAUAGGAGCUCCUGCUGCAUGGUGGGGGUUGGAAAGUUUCGGCGGUUGGGGAUGGACUCGCGGCUUAUCAGCUUGUUGGUGGGGUAGUGGCUUACCAAGGGUUUGACGGGUAGCCGGCCUGUGAGGGUGACCGGCCACAUUGGGACUGAGAUACGGCCCAGACUCCUACGGGAGGCAGCAGGGGGGAAUAUUGCACAGUGGGCGGGAGCCUGAUGCAGCGACGCCGCGUGCGGGAAGACGGCCUUCGGGUUGUAAACCGCUUUCGCCUGAGACGAAGCGUGAGUGACGGUAAUUGGUAAAGAAGCACCGGCUAACUACGUG
rnacentral:rRNA from 1 species